GUUUUGAUUAACAGAAGAAGCCUAGCCUCAGGGAAAGAAGUUCCAUAUUAGCUAACCCUCUCCGCCUCAUCCUUGAUGAGUUUCAAGCCAAGAAAGAUGAAAGAAGCUUGGACUGGAGAAAGGAGGGUUUCUGAGGUAGCUUGGGGAGGAGGAAGGAGCCUUAGUCUUGGAGCCAUAAGAGCUACACAGUUCCAGGCAGCCUUGAACAGACCAUAUGAUGUAGUGCAGCCUCUCUGGAGGCCCACUGAGCAGGGUUUUGAAUACUGAUGUGCCUUAGAUGGACUCUGCUUCACAUCUGGAACCUGUGGCCUCAUCUGUGCAGCAGGUUUAACCAUCCUCUGCAAGACUGUGAUGAGCAUCAAAUGCGAUAGUGCAUGGAGAACACCUGGGGCAUAACUAUUGCCGCACAAAUCACUUAACUUUCUUGAUAUUGUUUCCUCUUAAAGAGUGAAGAUUAUGCCCUAUGCCUUUUAGGGUAGCUGAGAGGAUAAAAUGGGAUAAUGUAUGCAAUUAUGUUAUAUAUUAUUGAGGUUUAAUUAGAAAAGGACUUCACAAGGAUCUUGGUAACCUAUUGCAGAGUUUUGCACUAAUACAUGUAUCCUUUUGUUGAACUAGAAUUUUUUCUUCUUUAUUAUUGUCUUUUUCAUCUUUCUUGACCUUCCAAGAACACAGAGAAGUGGUGGUAUUCAUUUGUUUCAUGCAAAUCUUCACGCACUGAAAGAUAUAAUCCAUUCACCCCUAGAGUUUAGGUUUUUAAAAAAAAGUCUUGAUUAUGACUGGAAAUCUGUUUUCUUAUUCAAAAUUCUUUGUUACAUUAUUCUGAACCCUUUUAACUUCUCCAUUGAUUAUGGUGUCCAAGAUAGGAAUUGAUCUUUGAGAAUUUCUCAGACUAAAAUAUAGGAGAAAGAUUACUUUCUGUCCUUCAUUCCCCAUUAAAAAAUAUAUAUGUAUAUCGAUGUCUUUAUUAUAAAAGUAAUGUCAUCACUUUAUAUACAUUUUGGAGAAGAGAGAAAGAAAAUUGCCCACAAUUCCAUCAGUUCAAUUAAUAGUAGUUUUAUGACUGUACAUCUGGUCAUUUUAAUAUACAUAUUUUACAUAUCUUUGUGUGUGUAUAUAUAUAGCUUAUAUAUCAUUAUAUACAUAUCUUACAUAACCACAAUCAUAUACAAAUAUGAAUCUUCCUUUUCCCCCCCCUCUUCUAAUGUUUUCUAUAUUGCUGCAUGUCUUUAGUACCUGUCUAGUAGAAUUAUGAGGAUUCAGUGCUUUAAGUGCUUAGCAUGGUGUCUGGCAAUAGUUAGUGUCAGUAAGUGGGAGCUGGUUGUUAUAUGACUUUUUCCAUCGUUUGCAUUAUUUCCUGAUGGACGCCCAGAAGUGGAUUUACUGGGUCAGGUACUCUUUAGGCUCUUGAUACAUGGCACCUGCCACAUUGCUUUCUGAGACCCAUUUCAGUUUACAGAGCCCUUGGUGCUACUCAGGAGUUUCACUGCUCUUCAUCAGCGCCCCUCACCCCUCACCCCUCCCUUUAUUUUUAGGUUUGGGAAGCUCAUUUAGUUAGGUAAAGAUGUUACCUAAUUAUUUAAGUUUCAUUAUUUAAUAAUUAUAAAUGUUGAACUUUUUGUUGUAUGUUUCCUCUUUGCAGUGUCUGUUCAUGACCUAUUUAACAGUUGGAAUCCCUUAACAGUUUCUAAUUGAAUUACGUGGCCUCUUUAAUAAAGAUAUUAAUCUUUUGUCAUAUGGACCGCAAAUAGUUUUCCUGUUUUCUUCUUAUUUUAGGGUUGAGUUUUGUUUUUUUUUUAAAGUUCUCACACAGACACACACAAUGUGAUCCAUCUCCUGUUCGUGGCUGUCACAAUGAAUUUCAUCACCAUCCAUGCCAGGUCUGAUGGUAGUGCCUUGAGUCCAACAAGAGAGACUCUCCCCAUGGUUACAUGGGUGCCUAAUAACAGCGAACACAGAUGCCUUCUACGCCCUGUACAUUCAUUCCCUUGCUGAGGAGUCCUAUCCUUUAUGAUCACCAAGAUGUGCAUUCAAGUCUGUAACAGAGCCCGGACAGCUGAUGGGAGAGGUGGCACAGGCCUGCACUGGGGUUUCUCAUCUCGGUGGCAAGGACAGUGGCACACAGAGGCAUUACAUUGGCUUCCGAGUCUAGAUCUAUAAAUAUAUUUAUUAUAACAAGAACUUAACAAUAAACAUAUACUAUGUACAAUACCGUUACAGAGAACCCUGUUUUAUAUCAUUCACAGAAAUAGCCAGUUUUGCUCCAGUGUGAUAACUGAGGAGAGAACAGGAUUUCAGUGUCGUCUGUGUUGAGUCCCGCUGACCACUAACACCUCCUUUGGAGGUAGACGCCCACCAACGCUGACAUCGCCCUGCCCCAGGCAGUUAGACACUUGUGCUCCAGUCCUUGGGUUCACACUUGCACCCUGUUUGAC